rnacentral:rRNA from 1 species
AACCUGGUUGAUCCUGCCAGUACCAUAGGCUAGUCUUGAAGACUAAGCCAUGCAUGUGUCAGUGCACAGCCUAGUUUACUAGGCAUUCGGAAACUGCGGAUGGCUCCAUAUACUAGUGAGAACCUGCCUGCCCAGUCAACUACAAGGAUAACCUUGCCAACAGCAAGGCUAAUACUUGAUAAACAGCUAGCUUCGGCUAGUAGCGCAAGGCUAAGCUUGACGGCUACCUUGCAUAGUAGGCUUCGGCUUACUGGUUGACCUGAAAGGAUUAAGAGCUGCUACUAGUAGUAGCUCGACCUAAGGCUGAGCAGAGAGCUCUCUAAGCCAUUAGCUGGUUGUGGGGGUAGCGGCUUCACAAGGCGACUAUGGCUACGGGGAAUCAGCGUUCGAUUCCGGAGAGAAAGCCUGAGACACGGCUAUCACAUCUAAGGAAGGCAGCAGGCGCGCAAAUUGCCCAAUGCAGAUUCUGCGAGGCAGUGAACAGCCAUACCGGCCUGCGCACCUAGUGCGCAGGGAGGCUUUAAGCCUUAGAAUGAAUGCUGCUUAACAAACAGCAUGAUAAGCUAGUAGAGGAUCAGUCUGGUGUUGUCUUUAAACGUCCGUAGCCAGCUAAAGCUGCUAAGCUACUAGUCUGCAGCACAGGCUAGCUUCAACUACCUUUCGCUAGGUAGUAGUUGCUAGACUGGCUGCCUUGGCGGAAGCCUUUAGCAUAAGCUGAAGGCUACUGUAGGCUGGUAGUUUAGUAGCGUAGCGACAUCGCUAGUAAACAGGCAUGCUCAAGGUAAGCUAAAGGGUUUUCCCUAUGGCUUGAACUAUAUAGAGCGACACGUCAGUCAAGCAGGCUACUUCGGUAGCCGGCGUGAACAAUGAGGGGGACUCAGGCCAGGAGUAUUGGCAGGCUAGGGGUGAAAUCCAGUGACCCUGCCAAGACUGCAUGAGGCGAAAGCGCCUGGCUAGAGCCUACUUGUCGGCGAUGGACGAGAGUGAAGGGCGCGAAGAUGAUUAGAUACCGUUGUAGUCUUCACUGUAAACUAUGCCAGCUUGGCUGGGCAGCUUCACCUAGUUGAAGGCUGCCUGGCCAAAGGGAAACUAGUAAGCUCUUCGGCUAGAGGGGUAGUACUGUCGCAAGGCAGAAACUUAAAGGAAUUGACGGAAAAGCACCACCAGGCGUGGAGUCUGCGGCUUAAUUCGACUCAACACGGGAAACCUUACCAGGGCAGGACACUAAGUGGAUUGUCAGCCUACAGGGCUUACAUGAUAUUGUGGAAAGUGGUGCAUGGCCAUUCUUAGUUCGUGAGGCGACUUGUCUCCUUAAUUGAGGUAACGAGCGAGACCCUGAAGGUUAGUUGAGCUUGGCUAGUUUACUAGUCAAUGUGCUGCUUCGCAGCCGCUCCUAACCUGAUUACUGGCGCCUAGCCAGUCGAGACAGGACAAUAAUAGGUCUGUUAUGCCCUUAGAUGGCCUGGGACGCACGCGUACUACACUGACGCUCGCAGCCAGUAGAGUAGCGGCUAGUUUACUAGCCGCUAAGCUAUGCUGGAAAGCAUUGCGAAGCUGCAAAGGGCGUCUCGGUAAGGAUUGCUGCCUGCAAGGGCAGCAUAAAUGAGGAAUGCCUUGUAAGCGCCCUUCAGCAUAGGGCACUGAAUACGUCCCUGCUUUUUGUACACACCGCCCGUCGCAUCAAGGAACUCAACUGAGGCAAUGAGCCUGCCGGACGCAAGGAAGGCAGGCGAAUAGCCUUAGUCUUACCAUGAUGAAGUCGUAACAAGGUAUCCGUAGGUGAACCUGCAGAAGGAUCA